AAUGGACGCAAGUCUGAUCAUGCCACGCCGUGUGUAGGAAGAAGGCCCUAGGGUUGUAAACUACUGUCAGGAUAGGGGAAGUCAGUCGUAAUAGUCGGUGUUUGACUGCUAUCCAGAGGAAGCUCCGGCUAAACACGUGCCAGCAGCCGCGGUAAUACGUGUGGGGCGAGCGUUGUUCGGAAUUACUGGGCAUAAAGGGUUCGUAGGCGGUCUACUAAGUCAGGGGUGAAAGUCUGUCGCCCAACGAUGGAUUGCCUUUGAUACUGGUGGACUUGAGUGCAUUAGGGGUGAACGGAACGUGUGGUGUAGCGGUGAAAUGCGUAGAUAUCACACGGAAGGCCAGAGGCGAAGGCGGUUCACUGGGAUGCAACUGACGCUGAGGAACGAAAGCGUGGGGAGCAAACAGGACU
rnacentral:rRNA from 1 species